GGGGGGUGCGAGCGUUGUCCGGAAUCACUGGGCGUAAAGGGCGCGUAGGUGGUUUGAUAAGGGUGUGGUGAAAGUCCGGGGCUCAACCCCGGAUCUGCCGUGCCGACUGUCAAACUCGAGGGCUGUAGAGGCAGACGGAAUUCCGGGUGUAGCGGUGGAAUGCGUAGAGAUCCGGAGGAAGACCGGUGGCGAAGGCGGUCUGCUGGGCAGUUUCUGACACUGAUGCGCGACAGCGUGGGGAGCAAACAGGAUUAGAUACCCUGGUAGUCCACGCCGUAAACGAUGGGUACUAGGUGCCUGGGGGAGCGACCCUCUGGGUGCCGGCGCUAACGCAGGAAGUACCCCGCCUGGGGAGUACGACCGCAAGGUUG
rnacentral:rRNA from 1 species